rnacentral:lncRNA from 1 species
ACCAAAUCCAGAGCUAUCAUUUCUACUUUGUGAGAAACAGGGUGUGAUCUGGGGUUCCCAGACCACAUGGGGACCAGCUCUUCUCUUGCAGUUCUUGAGAACUUGGGUUGUUCAUUCAUGGAGAUUGGAGUAUGGUUCAUUCCAUGAUCUUCUCCGGCCUGAGAGCAACGUGGAAGCGUAUGCAGCUGCUCUGUCCUUUAAGAAGCAACAACUGUGGGGAGAGACAGGAAGUGCCCAACCAUGCUGAGGCUAUGACUAAGCAAAGUCACAACCAGGUGGGAAGAAACAGGAGGAUCAAUAUGCAGAAAAAGAGAAAAAGUGAAGGCAAAUCCCUUUCUUCUGGAGGCUACCUUGGCUCCAAACAGGCAAGAGACAGAAGUGGACAGAAUAAACAGAUACACAUGGGUCCAAAUUAAGAGGUGUCCUUGUUUUGAAUGGAGAAUUUAAGGUGAGAGCCCAGACAAGGCUGACCUCAGGAGACUGUAUGAACCCUGGCAUGUCG